rnacentral:lncRNA from 1 species
AGAAUGACAUCUUGCUGUGAUCUCACUUGGUGAAAAUGGGUAAGAUUCAAGCUGGGGCCUCUUUAGGAAGGACACUAAUCCCAAUCAUAAGGGUUCUACUCUUGUGACUUAAUCACCUCCCAGAGGCCCUCAACUUAGUACUGUCUCACAGUGGUGGGGAUUGAAUCGCAACAUACAUUCUGAAGUGGCCACAAACAUCCCAAUCAUAGAAAUAACUAACAGCUCUGAGAGCUGAAGGAGCCGCUUCCUUCACUUAUUAACACUGGGCAGCUUCUCUCACUAAACGUUACUAAUUAUAUCUGGAAGAAGUUUUAUAAUUUAUAAAAGACUUUUUGCUUGUUUUCUUUUUCUUAUGGUGUAGGGAUAAUUACUUAUUUCAUAAAGUUGUUGUGAAGAUGAAAUGAGUUCACAACAGUGCCUACCUAGCACAUAAAAGUUCCGUAACUGUUAGCUGAAAUAUAAGGACUAACACAAGGUAAUACUGAUGCUCCACUGUACCUCAGUGAGCAGUGAGGCUGGAAUGCUUGGCAUCUGUGGUCCAUCAGCACAAAGGGAUACUGAUUAGUUGCUGUGUUUAGAGUAUUACUUUGCUAAGUUAUGUUUUGUCAAUUGUAAGAAGACAGCAUUGACAACAGUUGUUUCAGAUAGUUUUGUAAUGACUAGACACUAGGGAAGUGUGCAUAGAUUUAUUUUGGAAAUGCAGGUUUGGUUUGGAUUUUGGUCGAGUCAGAUAUAGAUGAUGCUUCUAGUUGACCCCCAAAGGCUUAUAUUUUACUUCUACUGUGAGCUCCCAAGUAGUUGGGCAGAUAAAAGAGUAUUCUGAGAAAUAACCUACUUCCUAGAUGGCUUGUUCUAGACCAGUUUGAUAUAUGGUGAUGAAAUAGAUUGCUUUAGCACUUUAGGUAUUCAGAAAGUAUAACUUUAUGUUACAUUUAUUUUGUUCUUGAAAAGCAUGAGUGAAACAGAUGGCUUGAGAGAAUUGCAGUCUUAUAUGGAGCCUUAAAUAGAAACUUUUUAUUUAGAUUGUUCUAAUUUGCUUUUCUGUUGCUAUGAUAAAUACCAUGACCAAUAGCAAUUUAGGGAAGGAAAGAGUUGAUUUUGGUUUACACUUGUAGGUCACAGUUGAUUACUGAGGGAAGUGGGAGGAGGAACCUAAGCAGGAAGUCCAAGCAGGACAUGGAGGAAUGCUGCUUGUUCAUGUGCCUGCAGGGAGGCUAAGCUCUCCCACGUCACUCAGGACAAGCUUUCACAGACUAGUCUGACCAAAGUAGUUGCUCAGUUGAAGCUCACUCUUUCUAACUAACUCUUUAUUCCUAGUUGAUAAUAAACAGUGAGACAAGGUUCUGGACGCUUAGCCUGUAUUCAUUCCAUUGUGCCACAUACACUACUAUCUGUUGGGGUCUGUACAAGUGCACUCCCACUGCUUGCCACUGAAAGGAGAGGGAGGGGAGCAGGAGACUUGCUGCAUAACUUUGCUGCUAUUCUUUUGCUAAUAACUGAAGCAUUGCUAAUUAUGUCAUAAAUAAACUUGCCAUUUAAAAAAUUUUUUUGAUGAGUACCAAAGUUUCUUUUUUUCCUUUUUUUUUUUUUAAUAUUUCGCCACAGGUACUGAGCAUAUAAUUUCUCAUAUUGAUGUCUGCUUUUUAGUUUACACUAUUUCUGUUUCCAUACCUUUAAAAAAUAAAUGUACAUUAAUUCAGUUGACUUUAAUGAAUACUUAUAAGCAAUCACUAUAUAGCUAUUAUCUAUCAGUGUGUAAACUGAAUGUUGUUGUCAUGUCAGGAUCUCUCAUCUGACUUUCUUUCAAUCGCUUUACUCCUUGUGCAUAGAGUUAGUUAACAACCUGACCUGUCCACCAUUGCUGCUGUCAGGUUUGUGUUUUUCUGUGGGCAAGCAUGUGCUUUAGAUUAUUUUAUUAUUGUGUAGCUUUAUACUGUUAUUCAUACUUCCAAAGAAUGUAUUCUUGUUGCUUUUGAACUUUAUGUAAAUGUUAUACAUCCUUUGGAGCUUGAUUAGUCUACAUCAUAGCCUGGGAACUGCACUGCUCUCUACUGAGUGGAAAAUCAGUAAGUAAGUACUGACAGAGGCCACGGCAGACUUGAAGGCAGCUACGGAUUUACUCUGUAGAUAGCUUGACUGGUUUAUGUACUUGCCUUUUAAAAUCAACCUCUCUUUCUAUCCAUAUAUGUAUAGUUGCAUAUGUAUAUAUAUGUAUAUGCACUGUCCUUAGUAUUUUUAAUGAGAAUUUUUCUAUAUUUGUUUAUAAAUACAUAAAACUGUGACAGUGGCCUGAAGGUUACUUUGGAAAUUAAGAUAAUUUUGUAUUUUAACUCUCGUGUUUUCCUGAUAUAAUAUUACUUAUCUAUAUCACAGUGAAAGUCUGUUCUGUUGGACAUGUGAAAAACUUUGGGCUUUAUUUUAG